rnacentral:rRNA from 1 species
GGGUUGUGAGGUUAAGCGACCAAGCGUACACGGUGGAUGCCCUGGCAGUCAGAGGCGAUGAAGGACGUGCUAAUCUGCGAAAAGCGCCGGUAAGGUGAUAUGAACCGUUAUAACCGGCGAUGUCCGAAUGGGGAAACCCAGUGUGACUCGUCACACUAUCAUUAACUGAAUCCAUAGGUUAAUGAGGCGAACCGGGGGAACUGAAACAUCUAAGUACCCCGAGGAAAAGAAAUCAACCGAGAUUCCCCCAGUAGCGGCGAGCGAACGGGGAGGAGCCCAGAGCCUGAAUCAGCAUGUGUGUUAGUGGAAGCGUCUGGAAAGGCGCGCGAUACAGGGUGAGAGCCCCGUACACAAAAGCGCACAUGCUGUGAGCUCGAUGAGUAGGGCGGGACACGUGGUAUCCUGUCUGAAUAUGGGGGGACCAUCCUCCAAGGCUAAAUACUCCUGACUGACCGAUAGUGAACCAGUACCGUGAGGGAAAGGCGAAAAGAACCCCGGCGAGGGGAGUGAAACAGAACCUGAAACCGUGUACGUACAAGCAGUGGGAGCCUCUCUUUAUGGGGGGUGACUGCGUACCUUUUGUAUAAUGGGUCAGCGACUUAUAUUCUGUAGCAAGGUUAACCGCAUAGGGGAGCCGAAGGGAAACCGAGUCUUAAUUGGGCGUUAAGUUGCAGGGUAUAGACCCGAAACCCGGUGAUCUAGCCAUGGGCAGGUUGAAGGUUGGGUAACACUAACUGGAGGACCGAACCGACUAAUGUUGAAAAAUUAGCGGAUGACCUGUGGCUGGGGGUGAAAGGCCAAUCAAACCGGGAGAUAGCUGGUUCUCCCCGAAAGCUAUUUAGGUAGCGCCUCGUGAACUCAUCUCCGGGGGUAGAGCACUGUUUCGGCUAGGGGGCCAUCCCGGCUUACCAACCCGAUGCAAACUGCGAAUACCGGAGAAUGUUAUCACGGGAGACACACGGCGGGUGCUAACGUCCGUCGUGAAGAGGGAAACAACCCAGACCGCCAGCUAAGGUCCCAAAGUCAUGGUUAAGUGGGAAACGAUGUGGGAAGGCCCAGACAGCCAGGAUGUUGGCUUAGAAGCAGCCAUCAUUUAAAGAAAGCGUAAUAGCUCACUGGUCGAGUCGGCCUGCGCGGAAGAUGUAACGGGGCUAAACCAUGCACCGAAGCUGCGGCAGCGACACUUUAGUGUUGUUGGGUAGGGGAGCGUUCUGUAAGCCGUUGAAGGUGUGUCGUGAGGCAUGCUGGAGGUAUCAGAAGUGCGAAUGCUGACAUAAGUAACGAUAAAGCGGGUGAAAAGCCCGCUCGCCGGAAGACCAAGGGUUCCUGUCCAACGUUAAUCGGGGCAGGGUGAGUCGACCCCUAAGGCGAGGCCGAAAGGCGUAGUCGAUGGGAAACGGGUUAAUAUUCCCGUACUUGGUGUUACUGCGAAGGGGGGACGGAGAAGGCUAUGUUGGCCGGGCGACGGUUGUCCCGGUUUAAGCGUGUAGGUGUGUGUUCCAGGUAAAUCCGGUUCACUUUAACACUGAGGCGUGAUGACGAGGCACCACGGUGCUGAAGCAACAAAUGCCCUGCUUCCAGGAAAAGCCUCUAAGCAUCAGGUAACAUCAAAUCGUACCCCAAACCGACACAGGUGGUCAGGUAGAGAAUACCAAGGCGCUUGAGAGAACUCGGGUGAAGGAACUAGGCAAAAUGGUGCCGUAACUUCGGGAGAAGGCACGCUGACACGUAGGUGAAGUGAUUUACUCAUGGAGCUGAAGUCAGUCGAAGAUACCAGCUGGCUGCAACUGUUUAUUAAAAACACAGCACUGUGCAAACACGAAAGUGGACGUAUACGGUGUGACGCCUGCCCGGUGCCGGAAGGUUAAUUGAUGGGGUCAGCGCAAGCGAAGCUCCUGAUCGAAGCCCCGGUAAACGGCGGCCGUAACUAUAACGGUCCUAAGGUAGCGAAAUUCCUUGUCGGGUAAGUUCCGACCUGCACGAAUGGCGUAAUGAUGGCCAGGCUGUCUCCACCCGAGACUCAGUGAAAUUGAACUCGCUGUGAAGAUGCAGUGUACCCGCGGCAAGACGGAAAGACCCCGUGAACCUUUACUAUAGCUUGACACUGAACAUUGAGCCUUGAUGUGUAGGAUAGGUGGGAGGCUUUGAAGCGUGGACGCCAGUCUGCGUGGAGCCGACCUUGAAAUACCACCCUUUAAUGUUUGAUGUUCUAACGUGGACCCGUGAUCCGGGUUGCGGACAGUGUCUGGUGGGUAGUUUGACUGGGGCGGUCUCCUCCUAAAGAGUAACGGAGGAGCACGAAGGUUGGCUAAUCCUGGUCGGACAUCAGGAGGUUAGUGCAAUGGCAUAAGCCAGCUUGACUGCGAGCGUGACGGCGCGAGCAGGUGCGAAAGCAGGUCAUAGUGAUCCGGUGGUUCUGAAUGGAAGGGCCAUCGCUCAACGGAUAAAAGGUACUCCGGGGAUAACAGGCUGAUACCGCCCAAGAGUUCAUAUCGACGGCGGUGUUUGGCACCUCGAUGUCGGCUCAUCACAUCCUGGGGCUGAAGUAGGUCCCAAGGGUAUGGCUGUUCGCCAUUUAAAGUGGUACGCGAGCUGGGUUUAGAACGUCGUGAGACAGUUCGGUCCCUAUCUGCCGUGGGCGCUGGAAGACUGAGGGGGGCUGCUCCUAGUACGAGAGGACCGGAGUGGACGCAUCACUGGUGUUCGGGUUGUCAUGCCAAUGGCACUGCCCGGUAGCUAAAUGCGGAAAAGAUAAGUGCUGAAAGCAUCUAAGCACGAAACUUGCCCCGAGAUGAGUCUUCCCUGAGACUUUGAGUCUCCUGAAGGAACGUUAAAGACGAUGACGUUGAUAGGCCGGGUGUGUAAGCGCAGCGAUGCGUUGAGCUAACCGGUACUAAUGAACCGUGAGGCUUAACCUUACAACGCCGAAGCUGUU